rnacentral:tRNA from 1 species
GCCUGCUUAGCUUAGUUGGUAGAGCACCCGCUUAGUAAGCGGGAAGUCGUCGGUUCGACUCCGGCAGAAGGCU